UAGAGUUUGAUCCCGGCUCAGGAUGAACGCUGGCGGCGUGCCUAAUACAUGCAAGUCGAACGCACAGCGAAAGGUGCUUGCACCUUUCAAGUGAGUGGCGAACGGGUGAGUAACACGUGGAUAACCUACCUCAAGGUUGGGGAUAACAUUUGGAAACAGAUGCUAAUACCGAAUAAAACCUCGUAUCGCAUGAUACAAGGUUAAAAGGCGCUACGGCGUCACCUAGAGAUGGAUCCGCGGUGCAUUAGUUAGUUGGUGGGGUAAAGGCCUACCAAGACAAUGAUGCAUAGCCGAGUUGAGAGACUGAUCGGCCACAUUGGGACUGAGACACGGCCCAAACUCCUACGGGAGGCUGCAGUAGGGAAUCUUCCACAAUGGGCGAAAGCCUGAUGGAGCAACGCCGCGUGUGUGAUGAAGGCUUUCGGGUCGUAAAGCACUGUUGUAUGGGAAGAACAGCUAGAGUAGGGAAUGACUUUAGUUUGACGGUACCAUACCAGAAAGGGACGGCUAAAUACGUGCCAGCAGCCGCGGUAAUACGUAUGUCCCGAGCGUUAUCCGGAUUUAUUGGGCGUAAAGCGAGCGCAGACGGUUGAUUAAGUCUGAUGUGAAAGCCCGGAGCUCAACUCCGGAAAGGCAUUGGAAACUGGUCAACUUGAGUGCAGUAGAGGUAAGUGGAACUCCAUGUGUAGCGGUGGAAUGCGUAGAUAUAUGGAAGAACACCAGCGGCGAAGGCGGCUUACUGGACUGUAACUGACGUUGAGGCUCGAAAGUGUGGGUAGCAAACAGGAUUAGAUACCCUGGUAGUCCACACCGUAAACGAUGAACACUAGGUGUUAGGAGGUUUCCGCCUCUUAGUGCCGAAGCUAACGCAUUAAGUGUUCCGCCUGGGGGAGUACGACCGCAAGGUUGAAACUCAAAGGAAUUGACGGGGACCCG
rnacentral:rRNA from 1 species